rnacentral:rRNA from 1 species
GGAGGGUCGGUAUCGGAUUACUGGGCGUAAGCGUGCGCAGGCGGUUUUGUAAGUCUGACGUGAAAGCCCCGGGCUCAACCUGGGAAUUGCGUUGGAGACUGCAAGGCUUGAAUCUGGCAGAGGGGGGUAGAAUUCCACGUGUAGCAGUGAAAUGCGUAGAGAUGUGGAGGAACACCGAUGGCGAAGGCAGCCCCCUGGGUCAAGAUUGACGCUCAUGCACGAAAGCGUGGGGAGCAAACAGGAUUAGAUACCCUGGUAGUCCACGCCCUAAACGAUGUCUACUAGUUGUCGGGUCUUAAUUGACUUGGUAACGCAGCUAACGCGUGAAGUAGACCGCCUGGGGAGUACGGUCGCAAGAUUAAAACUCAAAGGAAUUGACGGGGACCCGCACAAGCGGUGGAUGAUGUGGAUUAAUUCGAUGCAACGCGAAAAACCUUACCUACCCUUGACAUGUCAGGAACCUCCGAGAGAUUGGAGGGUGCCCGAAAGGGAACCUGAACACAGGUGCUGCAUGGCUGUCGUCAGCUCGUGUCGUGAGAUGUUGGGUUAAGUCCCGCAACGAGCGCAACCCUUGUCAUUAGUUGCUACGAAAGGGCACUCUAAUGAGACUGCCGGUGACAAACCGGAGGAAGGUGGGGAUGACGUCAAGUCCUCAUGGCCCUUAUGGGUAGGGCUUCACACGUCAUACAAUGGUACAUACAGAGGGCCGCCAACCCGCGAGGGGGAGCUAAUCCCAGAAAGUGUAUCGUAGUCCGGAUCGCAGUCUGCAACUCGACUGCGUGAAGUUGGAAUCGCUAGUAAUCGCGGAUCAGCAUGCCGCGGUGAAUACGUUCCCCGGGUCUUGUACACACCGCCCGUCACACCAUGGGAGCGGGUUUUACCAGAAGUAGGUAGCUUAACCGUAAGGAGGGCGCUUACCACGGUAGGAUUCGUGACUGGGGUG